GACGAACGCUGGCGGCGUGCUUAACACAUGCCAGUCGAACGGAAAGGCCCUGCUUUUGUGGGGUGCUCGAGUGGCGAACGGGUGAGUAACACGUGAGUAACCUGCCCUUGACUUUGGGAUAACUUCAGGAAACUGGGGCUAAUACCGGAUAGGAGCUCCUGCUGCAUGGUGGGGGUUGGAAAGUUUCGGCGGUUGGGGAUGGACUCGCGGCUUAUCAGCUUGUUGGUGGGGUAGUGGCUUACCAGGGCUUUGACGGGUAGCCGGCCUGAGAGGGUGACCGGCCACAUUGGGACUGAGAUACGGCCCAGACUCCUACGGGAGGCAGCAGUGGGGAAUAUUGCACAAUGGGCGGAAGCCUGAUGCAACAACGCCGCGUGCGGGAUGACGGCCUUCGGGUUGUAAACCGCUUUCGCCUGUGACGAAGCGUGAGUGACGGUAAUGGGUAAAGAAGCACCGGCUAACUACGUG
rnacentral:rRNA from 1 species